rnacentral:tRNA from 1 species
GUGGGUGUGGCUCAGUGGCAGAGCGCGUGCUUAGCAUGCAUAAUUAGGUCCGGGGUUCAAUCCCCAGGACUUAUA